AUUUAAAUAGUUUAAUAUAAAAAUAUUAAUUUGUGGAAUUAAUGAUAAAAUUUAGGUUUUUUUAAAUA
rnacentral:tRNA from 1 species